GAUGAACGCUGGCGGCAUGCCUAAUACAUGCAAGUCGAGCGAACAGAUGAGGAGCUUGCUCCUCUGACGUUAGCGGCGGACGGGUGAGUAACACGUGGAUAACCUACCUAUAAGACUGGGAUAACUUCGGGAAACCGGAGCUAAUACCGGAUAAUAUAUUGAACCGCAUGGUUCAAUAGUGAAAGACGGUUUUGCUGUCACUUAUAGAUGGAUCCGCGCCGCAUUAGCUAGUUGGUAAGGUAACGGCUUACCAAGGCAACGAUGCGUAGCCGACCUGAGAGGGUGAUCGGCCACACUGGAACUGAGACACGGUCCAGACUCCUACGGGAGGCAGCAGUAGGGAAUCUUCCGCAAUGGGCGAAAGCCUGACGGAGCAACGCCGCGUGAGUGAUGAAGGUCUUCGGAUCGUAAAACUCUGUUAUUAGGGAAGAUCAAAUGUGUAAGUAACUAUGCACGUCUUGACGGUACCUAAUCAGAAAGCCACGGCUAACUACGUG
rnacentral:rRNA from 1 species